AGUGAACGCUGGCGGCGUGCCUAAUACAUGCAAGUCGAACGAAUUGCCGCACGGGUGAGUAAUAUAUAUUUAAUCUGCCCUUCACAGAGGAACAACAGUUGGAAACGGCUGCUAAUACCUCAUAGUGUAGGAUGCGACUAUAUCGUAUCAGCUAGUUGGUAAGGUAAUGGCUUACCAAGGCUAUGACGCGUAACUGGUCUGAGAGGAUGAGCAGUCAAAUUGGAACUGAGACAGAGUUCAAACACCUACGGGAAGGAGCAGUAAGGAAUAUGGCGCAAUGGGCGAAAGCCAGAAACAGCAACGCAGCGUGGAGGAUGACACUUUGCGGAGCGUAAACUCCUAUGAUAAGGAAAGCGGUACCUGAUGAAUAAGCACCGGCUAACUCCGUGCCAGCCGCCGCGGUAAUUC
rnacentral:rRNA from 1 species